rnacentral:rRNA from 1 species
CACACCGCCCGUCACACCACGAGAGUUUGUAACACCCGAAGCCGGUGGAGUAACCUUUUAGGAGCUAGCCGUCGAAGGUGGGACAAAUGAUUGGGGUGAAGUCGUAACAAGGUAGCCGUAUCGGAAGAUGCGGCUGGAUCACCUCCUUUCUAAGGA